rnacentral:rRNA from 1 species
UACGUAGGGUGCAAGCGUUGUCCGGAAUUAUUGGGCGUAAAGAGCUCGUAGGCGGUCUGUCGCGUCUGCUGUGAAAACUCGGGGGCUUAACCCCGGGCCUGCAGUGGGUACGGGCAGACUAGAGUGCGGUAGGGGAGACUGGAAUUCCUGGUGUAGCGGUGAAAUGCGCAGAUAUCAGGAGGAACACCGGUGGCGAAGGCGGGUCUCUGGGCCGUAACUGACGCUGAGGAGCGAAAGUGUGGGGAGCGAACAGG